GAAGUGGCUGUAAUCAGGCUUGAGUUUGGAAUGGCCGGUAGCUUUAGGCUAUAUUUAAGGGGUGAGGGUCCCCUUUUCUUGGCCCUUUGGCCAGAAAUAGGAGGUUUUUCUCGGGAAUUGUAGCUGCCUUCCAUAACUGCAGCAGUUGACUAGAGCCCACACUGGGACAAAAGUGUGAGAGAAAAAAAUGUGGAUUCCCUCUGAACUCUUCAGAUCACAGAGGUCUCCUUUCCCAGCUCCCUUGUUUAGAAAGAAGAUGCUUGCUAACUAUUAUACCAACUUCAGGGACAAAGGGAGUGAUCACAGACCCGCUUGUGACACGGUGAAGAAAAAUCUCCUAAAUCCAGUCUGUGUUCCUGAGUGAAUUCUUUUAACAG